UACGGGGGGAGCAAGCGUUGUUCGGAUUUACUGGGCGUAAAGGGCGCGUAGGCGGCCGCUUGCGUCGGAUGUGAAAGCCCGGGGCUCAACCCCGGAACGGCAUCCGAUACGGGGCGGCUCGAGACCGAGAGAGGUGAGUGGAAUACCCAGUGUAGAGGUGAAAUGCGCAGAUAUCAGGAAGAACACCCGUGGCGAAGGCGGCUCUCUGGGACGGUACUGACGCUGAGACGCGAAAGCGUGGGGAGCGAACAGG
rnacentral:rRNA from 1 species